rnacentral:lncRNA from 1 species
UUUUUCGAUGGCGAGCUUUGUCUCAGUGCCCUCGAGAGAAGACCACCCGAAAGUGGUAUACAUUACGGCUGAUGUGGUAAGACUGGUGGCAACUGGGAACAGGGAGAAGGAAAAGACCUUUGCUUGUGAUAGCAGGAGGGGGAGAAAGGGGCGGAAGAAAUAGGCUCAUCAUAUGGUUUUUUAAAGGCCCCUGAAAGGUGCUGGGAUUGUAAAAGGUACCGGACAUCCUUGGAGAGAGAUGAGAGUUCACGUAAAUGGAGUAAAGAUUAUUACAUCUGAGAUCCUAAAUAGAAACAGGGUGUAGAAUAGUUAAGAGGGAUAGUUACUUGGGGAGGUCAUUCUAUAAUAAUCAUUUGCUGCUGCAGUGCCUCAAAUCGUCUUUUCUUUGUGCUAUCAUUCUUCUUCAGUCUCUUCUGUCAUAACACCAUAUGUUGGGUGGGCAGCACAAGAGAAUGUGGGUCAUUCUACUGCUUAGCAUUGCGCAAAUCAUGAUCAGAGCAACAGCAGCAGGAAGACCUUUUCCACAUGAGCCUCGAGGUAAAUUUUUCUUGGUUCCUCCAUUUUUUUACUCUUGUUUCUUUGAGCAAUGCUAUGGUAACUCAGAACAAUGACUCGAAAAUGUCACGCAGCUCUCUUGCACCAUUCGCCGUGCUUCGUUAUAUGGAAUAAUUCGCAAUGCUAAUUCAAAGGUGGCAACAAGAACAUAGCACAUGCCAGCUGAGUGACUUUUUGAGCUGCAAAUUUGAGUUACUAAAGCUUUUUGCCCCCCGUAGACCUGUUGUUUUUUUUUUUUGCCCAUCAAAUCUGUCGUAUAAAAAUACUAAAUCAUGUUUCUUCUCCGGUAGAAAGUAACAAGAAUCUUUGGUUACCUUUCGUGCAUACUUUUCUUGCCAGUCAACGUUCUUGAACACGGCUGAAAUCCUUCUGUUUACUCGCGCAGGCCAAGUUGCAAACUAUUUCCAGGUGGAAUGUGAAGCAACAAAGG